rnacentral:rRNA from 1 species
CUUUUCUUUUUUCUACGUUCGAUCCCCCCCUUACUCCUUAGGAUAAGCAGUCCUAAUAUCUACCAGCUCUCUAUAUGCGCUCAAUACCCUCUCUGGGGUAGCAUUUAUUAUAUAGAAACCAACCGCUUCGGAGAGAUGUGGUGACUCCUUUAACCUAGCGGAUCGCACGGCUUCCGCUGGCGAUAGAUCACUCCUUGUUUCUGCCCUAUCAGCUUUGGAUGGUACGGUAUUGGCCUUCCAUGGUUUUAACGGGUAACGGGCAAUUAGGGUUUGGUUCCGGAGAGGGACCCUGAGAGACGGCUCCCACAUCCAACGAAGGGAGCUAGUUCGUAAAUUACCCAAACCUGACACAGGGACGGUAGAGACAAUAUAUAACAAUGCCGGGCCUUUAUAAGUCUGGCCAUUGGAAUGAGAACAAUUUAAAUCCCUUAUCGAGGAUCCAUUGGAGGGCAAGACUGGUGCCAGCAGCCGCGGUAAUUCCAGCUCCAAUAGCCGUAUAUUAAAGUUGUUGCCGUUAAAAAGCUCGUAGUUGGAUUUGUGGCGUACGAUGGGCUCCGGGCACUUGUUGUCUGAGUAGCUUGUCGUUGCCAUCCUUGGGUGGAAUCUGUGUGGCAUUACGUUGCCGUGCACGGGAUGCCCAUCUUUCACUGUGAAAAAAUUACAGUGUUCAAAGCCGGCUUAUGCCGUUGAAUAUAUUACCAUGGAACUAUAAGAUAGGACUUUGUCCCUAUUUUGUCGGUUUGCGCCAUAACGUAAUGAUUAAUUAGCGACCGUUGGGGGGUAUUCGUAUUCCCCUUGUCCAGAGGUGAAAUCUCUUGGAACUUCUGGAAAA